rnacentral:lncRNA from 1 species
GCCAGGAAAGCCAAAAUGGCUUUGAGAAAGGAAUCGCCCAAUGCCACUUCUUUUUCAAGACCCCCCUAGAGUAUGCCGACUUUGACAUCAUGAAGGUUUAUUUGGACGGCCAACUUGUCGAGCUUUCUACCCAGGAACUAGCCGGUGCCGAUGAGGCUCUUCCUUCCGCUACCGAGAAUAUUCCCUCCGCCAUCCCGGUCGUUCCCAGCGAAACUUCCAACCUUCCUCCC